CCACCCGCCGGCUAGCCAAGCUUUGUUACGAAAACAAAUAGACCUACACACAAACAACAGGAAGCCCAACCAGCAGCAUCUGGCCGAGGGACUGAGCAGUGCCCUUUAGGAAGCUGCCAACCUGUCCAGCUCGGUCCGUGUAGCUCAGAGGAGGAGGCCACACACAUCUGGCCAGAGGUCAGCCUGCAGCUCGAGCCCACAGAGAAACAUGUCAGCCAAGAAGGGGCGAGAAGCGGGAUUUCGGAUAACUCGGGAGACUGGUGGAAAAGUGGCAGUAAGGAGCAAUGGAAAGGGAGGAGAGGGCAGAGGCCCCAGGGCGCCCACACCGCGGUCCGGGAAUAAAGGACGGGCGCCCCUCCUCCAGUCCGUGAGGAUCGGGGCAGGGGCGCUGCCCGCCUCGCCGGGGUGUGGCCCAGGGCGCUGAGAAGUGGACAGCUAGCAGCCGCCGGCGCCUGGAACACCGCGCGAGCCCCGACAGCCGACGGGGGGCUUCCCCGGGCGCCAGAUUAACAGCCAUCCAAGGAAUGGGAACAGAGGCCUGACUCAGUGUGGUCCCUGGAGUGAACCGAAGGCAAUGCUGAAGCUCUCCACCAGGUCUAUGAUGCCGAGGCUUUAGGGGGUUGGAAGGAGCCUGAGUUACUGAAUCACUGAAUGGAGGAAAACCACCUGCAAACUAGGCCCAGCUUCACUGGAACAGUUAUGUAGAAAUUUUGGUAGCAUGCUCAUGAAGUCGGGAGUUGAAGAAUUACACUGUUAACUGAUCACACAUCAGCAUGGUGGCGUGUUUUCGUGGAACUGGCUCUCCUCCCUGAGAAUCUCUUGGGUCCUCAGAAGGCAUGGUGCUCCCAGGUCUGGCAAAAACAUACACAUUUUUUGUCUCUUCAUGUGCAUCAAGUUGUGCCUGUAGCUCACAGAAACUAUGUGCAGCCUAGCUGUUUGCAGGGAAACUCUGUUACUGUUGCGAAUCAUAGUUGUAGCAAAAGAAAAUUUGACCUGUCAGUGAGGGAGCUCUGGUAAGGAGUCACCGCAGUCCGUGGUACUUCAGUUGAAAAGCACAGAUUUACAGUUGUCUGGUCUAGACUGGUUGAUGGCAAUCCAGAAAACAAAACAAAACAACAACCCCCCAAGUGUGGUACACUGUAAAUAGGGCAAAGCAGUUUAUUAAACCUUUCCCAUAUUUUUUGAACAUUUAGGUUGUUACCAGUUUUUUUUUUUUAACUGCCAUACAUUAUAAUGAUAUACAAUAGGACUAUUUUUGAAUAAAUACCUUUGCCCAUCUGUUUAUUUGCUUGGAUAGAUUUCUCUCAGAAAUCUUUUUUUUUUUUUUUUUUUUAAAGAUUUUAUUUAUUUAUCAGAGAGAGAGACGGGGAGAGAGUGAGCACAGGCAGACAGAAUGGCAGGCAGAGGCAGAGGGAGAAGCAGGCUCCCCGCCGAGCAAGGAGCCCGAUGUGGGACUCGAUCCCAGGGAUCACAACCCGAGCCAAAGGCAGCUGCUUAACCAACUGAGCCACCCAGGCGUCCCUUCUCUCAGAAAUCUUAAAGGACAAGUAGGGCUUAGAUUGUGUGGGUGUGGACAGGAGGGAAAAGCAUGUGCUAGAGCAUGGAAUCCUGGAGUGAGUGCUUCUAUC